rnacentral:rRNA from 1 species
UACGGAGGGUGCGAGCGUUGUCCGGAUUUAUUGGGUUUAAAGGGUGCGUAGGUGGCUUUUUAAGUCAGUGGUGAAAAUACAGGCCGCUCAACCGGUUGAGGUGCCAUUGAUGACUGAAGAGCUUGAAACAAGUGGAGGCUGCCGGAAUGGAUGGUGUAGCGGUGAAAUGCAUAGAUAUCAUCCAGAACACCGAUUGCGAAGGCAGGUGGCUACGUUUGAUUUGACACUGAGGCACGAAAGCAUGGGGAGCAAACAGG